rnacentral:rRNA from 1 species
ACAUGCCUACAACAUAACUUUAAUGCAUAGAAUCCCAUUAGAACUCCGCAGUUAAGCACACUCGGGCUAGAGUAGUACUGGGAUGGGUGAUUGCCUGGGAAGUCCUAGUAUUUUACAUGCC